ensembl:lncRNA
AAAAACACCCAGGUGCGCCCCUCCCGGCCUUCUGCCUCCUCUCCCACAACGCCGGGCCUGUCCCAAGUGAACAGAAGGAGAAAGACAGGGCUUUGGAGUCAGAUUCGCUGGGUUCCAGCUCAGAACUCUGCUUUUUUAGCUGGGUGGUCUUCUGUGAUCCGGUCUGCGUAAUGAAGAAACCCUCUCUCACGCUGUCGCAGUCAGGUCUCAUUCAAUCUGUGCUGGGCAGGUCCCCCAACUGCUCUUUCUGGCUGAACUUCCCAGAAGACCUCGGUCACGAAAUGAGAGCCACAGUGCCUGGCCCAGCUUCCAUGGAGAAGGUGACAUCAUGAGGCUUAAUGGAAUUACAGCUCACUCCAUCAGCUAAUCCUCAACCCUGGAAUCCACCCUCUCUGGCCCUUCCUGGCCUCCCCUCUGUGAUCCCAGGGAGGCUCCAAGUGCGGCAUGAGUGGACCCAAAGCAGAGCUCUUAAAGAAGCCGAGUCAUUGAAAUACAGUGCAAGAGUCAAAUAGCCCAUUUCCAGUGUGAAGACACUAAGAGACACCUCAUGUUAAAAAUGGGAAGCUUGCUGGUACCCCUCACACCGCAUUCGUGGAUGAUAAAUGACGUCAAGUGUUUAGCAAGGGUUUGACAUAUUCUAAGCAUUCAAUCAGUGGUUGUUGCGGUUGUUCAGUUGCUAAGUCAUGUCUUACUCUGUGACCCCGUGAACUGCAGCGUGCCAGGCUUCCUUGUCCUUCACCAUCUCCUGGAGUUUGAGCAAACUCAUGUCCAUUGAGUUGGUGAUGCCAUCCAACCAUCUCACUCUCUGUCACCCCCUUCUCUCCUGCACUCAAUCUCUCCCAGCAUCCAAAGUACUGGAGCUUCAGCUUCAGCGUCAGUCCUUCCAACGAAUAUUCAGGGUUGGUUCCCUUUAGGAUCAGUCAGUGGUAGCAAUGUGGUUUAUUCAUUUAUUUGGCUAUGGCUUUCAGCAUGUAGGAUCCUAGUUCCCGGACCAGGGGUUGAACCCACACUCUUGCUUUGAAAGCACAGAGUCUCAACCACUGGACAGCUUGGGAAUUCCCCAGUGACAAUAAUUUUAAUAUUUUGUAUUAACACUAACAACUUUAAUGUUCUGUUUUUUUUCUUCUUUUAAAUUUUUUAUUGAAAUACGGUUGAUUUACAAUGUUGUGUUAGUUUCCAGUGUCAGUGUCCUAUUUUUAACAUUCCAAGAAAUUUUCAAUAGUCUGUUCCAACUGCCAAUGCCAUUGCACAUAGGCCGGCACAAAAGGAGAAUUUCUUUCAUUGUUUAGGAUGAAUGCCUAUUUACGCAGCAAGCUUAAAGCCUUGAGAAACAUGGUAUUCAACUGUUCAAUAAAAUUCUGUUUAAAAAAGAUGGUGAGAGGUGGGUAGAUCUAGGAAUAUGAACAGCUAAUUAGUCUUGUGGAAGAGGUGAGAACACAAGCAUAAGCCCUCCCGGGAAGAAGGAGUCAUGGUGAGGGAGAGACGGAGAAACAGAGGAGGGGCAGGGGACUUCUCUGGGGCCCAGUGAUUAAGAAUCUGCCUUCCAAUGCAUGGGUUUGGUCCCUGGUCAGGGAACUAAGAUCCCAUAGGCCACGGGACAACUAAGCCCUCGUACUCCAGUUACUGAGCCUCCACAGCUCAACUAGAGAGCCUGUGUGCCGCAACUAAGACCCCACGCAACCAAAACUAAAUAAACAAAUAUUAAAAAAAAAAAAAAAGAAGAGGGGGCAAACUAAGAUUGGCCAUUAGGGCUUGUGGAGCAAAGGAUGAAGGGAAAGGAGCUUCAGAUAACAGAGUCCCCUCUCUCCAUAACAUGUCACACACCCCACAGUAGCACAGAGUCAUCGAAAGGACACUGGACUCCCAGUCGGGGUGACGUGGAUCCCAGCCCCAGCCCAGUCAUGCCAACCCCAUGUGUCACAGGGAGACCUGGUUCUGUAUUAAUCAUGAACUUGAACAAGUCACUUCACCUGAGAAGCUCCAUAAGGAAAGUGAGACAGCGUGAACUCUGUCUCCUCUACCUGUCUGAUCAACCUGAGACCUAGAAAGGAGGAAACAGACAGCACCCCUCUCCUGCAUGUGCUCAUUCUGGAUAACUGCUCAUAUGAUGCAUAUGUGUUGAUCACUACCCAUUUCAAUGAACACUAGAGAGACUUCCCUGCUGGUCCAGUGGUUAAGACUCUGUGCUCCCAAUGCAAGAGGCAUGGGGUUUGAUCCCUGGUUGGAGAACCAAGAUCCCAUAUGUCGCACAGUGCGGCCAAAACAUAAAAAAUAAACACUCUAGAAAAAUGUGUGCCCCCUGUUACUGGUACCUGCCCUAGUCCCCUCCCACAUUUGCAUGUUAAAUCACUUCAGUCUUAUCAGAUUCUUUUCGACCUUGUGGACUGUAGCUCACCAAGCUUCUCUGUCCAUGGGAUUCUCCAGGCAAGAAUACUGGAGCAGGUUGCCAUUUCCUCCUCCUGAAGACCUUCCCAACCCAGGGAUCAAACCUGAGUCUCCUGUGUCUCCUGCAUUGGCAAGUGGGUUCUUUACCACUAGUGCCACCUGGGAAGCCCCCAUAAUUGGCAUCUGUUUGCUUUUAAAAUCAACUUUAUCUUGAAUCAUGUCAGAUGAAUACAUUAACAUCAGUUUUUAUUGAAUUUGUGAUGCUUUGAAGAAUGGUCAGGAUGUUCACGUGUGUGGGGGGAGG